CAAAGGGCUCACGGAGGAUACCUAGGCACACAGAGGCGAUGAAGGACGUGGUUACCUGCGAUAAGUCUCGGGGAGUUGGAAGCACACUUUGAUCCGGGAAUUUCCGAAUGGGGCAACCCCUUGAACGACCAACUGAAUAUAUAGGUUGGUGCGAGCUAACCCAGCGAACUGAAACAUCUUAGUAGCUGGAGGAAGAGAAAGUAAAUAACGACUCCCUCAGUAGCGGCGAGCGAACGGGGAAUAGCCCAAACCGAUAGUCUUGACUAUCGGGGUUGUGGGACAGCAAUAUGGAUCAACAAUUCUAGAAGAAACGUUUGAAUGGCGUGCCAUAGAGGGUGAAAGCCCCGUAAUUGAAAGAUGAGUUGACCUAGCUGUAUCCCGAGUAGCACGGAGCACGUGGAAUUCCGUGUGAAUCUGCGAGGACCACCUCGUAAGGCUAAGUACUACUGUGUGACCGAUAGUGAAACAGUACCGCGAGGGAAAGGUGAAAAGAACCCCGGGAGGGGAGUGAAAUAGAACAUGAAACCGUGAGCUUACAAGCAAUGGGAGCCCGACUAAUCGGGUGACCGUGUGCCUGUUGAAGAAUGAGCCGGCGACUUAUAGGCACUGGCGGGUUAAACCGGAAAUGGUGGAGCCACAGCGAAAGCGAGUCUUAAUAGGGCGUUUGUCAGUGUUUAUAGACCCGAACCCUGGUGAUCUAACCAUGGCCAGGAUGAAGCUUGGGUGAUACCAAGUGGAGGUCCGAACCGACUGAAGUUGAAAAUUCAGCGGAUGAGCUGUGGUUAGGGGUGAAAUGCCAAUCGAACCAGGAGCUAGCUGGUUCUCCCCGAAAUACGUUGAGGCGUAGCGUCUAGUGCUCCAGCAGGGGGGUAAAGCAACCAUUUCGGUGCGGGCUGCGAAAGCGGUACCAAAUCGAUAUGAACUCUGAAUACCCUGUGUGUAACUAGGCAGUCAGACUGUGGGGGAUAAGCUCCAUAGUCAAGAGGGAAACAGCCCAGACCGCCAGCUAAGGUCCCAAAAUUAACGCUAAGUGAUAAAGGAGGUGGGAUUGCCCAGACAACCAGGAGGUUUGCCUAGAAGCAGCCAUCCUCAAAGGAGUGCGUAAUAGCUCACUGGUCGAGCGAUCCUGCGCCGAAAAUGAAUGGGGCUAAGCGUUAUACCGAAGCUGCGGAUAAAUUUAUUUAUGGUAGGGGAGCGUUCUAUGUUGGGUGAAGCGUUAGCGUAAGCGGACGUGGACGGCAUAGAAGUGAGAAUGUCGGCUUGAGUAGCGAAAACAUGGGUGAGAAUCCCAUGCCCCGAAACCCUAAGGGUUCCUCCGGCAGGCUCGUCCGCGGAGGGUUAGUCUGGACCUAAGGCGAGGCCGAAAGGCGUAGUCGAUGGAUAACAGGUCAAUAUUCCUGUACCAGUUAUGUUUUGGGAAGGGGGACGGAGAAGGCUAGCCAGGCCAGAUGUUGGUUACUGGUUCAAGCGUUCAAGGCUUUGAGAGAUGGAGAAAACAUCUUGAGCUGAGGCGUGAGUACGAGCUGCUACGGCAGCGAAGUUGGUGAUGUCAUGCUUCCAAGAAAAGCCCUAUACCCGUUAAGACAUAAAUGCCAGUACCCGAAACCGACACAGGUGGGGUGGUAGAGAAUACCGAGGGGCGCGAGAUAACUCUCUCUAAGGAACUCGGCAAAAUGGCCCCGUAACUUCGGGAGAAGGGGUGCCAGCGAGAGCUGGUCGCAGUGAAGAGGCGCAAGCGACUGUUUACCAAAAACACAGGUCUCCGCUAAGUCGCAAGACGAUGUAUGGGGGCUGACACCUGCCCAGUGCCGGAAGGUUAAGGAAGCUGGUUAGCUUUUAGCAAAGCUAGCGACUGAAGCCCCGGUGAACGGCGGCCGUAACUAUAACGGUCCUAAGGUAGCGAAAUUCCUUGUCGGGUAAGUUCCGACCCGCACGAAAGGUGUAACGAUCUGGGCGCUGUCUCGGAGAGAGGCUCGGCGAAAUAGAAUUGUCUGUGAAGAUGCGGACUACAUACACCCGGACAGAAAGACCCUAUGAAGCUUUACUGUAGUUUGAUAUUGUGCUCGGGCUCUAAUUGCGCAGAAUAGGUGGGAGACGUUGAAAUAGUACUUGUGGGUAUUAUUGAGUCAUCGGUGAGAUACCACUCUAUUAGAGCUAGGGUUCUAACGCUUACCCGUUAUCCGGGAAGCGGACAGUAUCUGAUGGGCAGUUUGACUGGGGCGGUCGCCUCCUAAAAGGUAACGGAGGCGCACAAAGGUUCCCUCAGGCUGGUUGGAAAUCAGUCGUUGAGUGCAAAAGCAGAAGGGAGCUUGACUGUGAGACCUACAAGUCGAACAGGGACGAAAGUCGGUUUUAGUGAUCCGACGGUUCUGCGUGGAAGGGCCGUCGCUCAACGGAUAAAAGUUACUCUAGGGAUAACAGGCUGAUCUCCCCCAAGAGUUCACAUCGACGGGGAGGUUUGGCACCUCGAUGUCGGCUCAUCGCAACCUGGGGCUGAAGUCGGUCCCAAGGGUUGGGCUGUUCGCCCAUUAAAGCGGUACGCGAGCUGGGUUCAGAACGUCGUGAGACAGUUCGGUCCAUAUCCGGUGUAUGCGCAGGAAUAUUGAGAGGAUUUCUCCCUAGUACGAGAGGACCGGGAGGAACGCACCUCUGGUGUGCCAGUUAUCGUGCCAACGGUAAACGCUGGGUAGCCAUGUGCGGAGUGGAUAACCGCUGAAAGCAUCUAAGUGGGAAGCCCACCUCAAGAUGAGUAUUGCCAUGGCUUAAGCCAGUAAGGUCACGGGAAGAACACCCGUUGAUAGGCUCUACGUGGAAGCUUGGUAACAAGUGCAGCGGAGGAGUACUAAUAGACCGAGGGCUUGACCA
rnacentral:rRNA from 1 species